rnacentral:rRNA from 1 species
UACAGAGGGUGCGAGCGUUGUCCGGAAUCACUGGGCGUAAAGGGCGCGUAGGCGGCUUGAUAAGGUUGCGGUGAAAGCCCGGGGCUCAACCCCGGGUCGGCCGUGGCAACUGUCGAGCUGGAGCACUGUAGAGGCAGGUGGAAUUCCGGGUGUAGCGGUGGAAUGCGUAGAGAUCCGGAAGAACACCGGUGGCGAAGGCGGCCUGCUGGGCAGUGGCUGACGCUGAGGCGCGACAGCGUG